CCAGGAAGUGGAGGUUUCACUGAUCAUGCCACUGCGCUCCAGUCUGGGUAACAGAGCAAAACUCUUGUCUCUUAAAAAAAAAUUAAUAUAUCUAUCCUUUUGAAUUGUAAUAUUUUGUAAUGCUUCCUUUUAACAUUUACAAACAGACGAUACUACUAUUGAAAUUUUGUGAAGUAAUAAAAUUGUAAUUUGAGCUGUGCCCCUGAGACUGCAAUACUCAGUGCCUUUAGGACUCAUGUCACAUAGAUUAAACUUAGAAGGAAACACAAAUCCAAAAUUAUGGCCAGGGUGUUGUUGACUCACAUGACCUCUUCAGAAGGCAGUUUCAUUCUGCCAGGGUUAAAGAUAAUGUAACUUUCUAGCCAUCCCACUUCCAGGAAUGCUUCACCAGAUACAUGCAUGCAUGGGUGCCAGGAGCGACACAGAAAAGGCUGUUCACUGUAGCAUGGUUUAAAUAGCAAGAUUACUUUAUAGGUCUUAUAUAAUGAGAUGGAUUUACAAUUGAAAUGCAGAAUGGUAGCUGAGAUGCAUUGACCAGUGAUAUAUGCAGAGCUACAGAAGACUCUGUAUAAAUAUAACCAUGAAAAAGCAUGUGCUUCUGGUGCAUGUUUGUAUUUGCACAUACAAUGCAGGGAUGAUAUGCAAACAAAAAUGCUGACUUGGUGUUUGGGAGUUGGGAGUGGAAGGAAAACUUCCUUUCAAACUCUUUCAAAUAUUUAGAGUAAUUUCUAACCAUAAAUAUGUAAUACAUUUAGAAAUCUAAGUUAAUAAGAAAAGCUUGCAGUUCCUGGCCUUCUGCUGGGCACAUGUCUGGUGGACAUGGGACUGUCAUAAUAAGUAAUGUGUGCAAACUGAGAAAAAUCCAAGAAUGAGAAUCUGCUUUUUUCAUCAAAUAAUUCUUAAGAGAAGUAAUGUGGCGGUUAUUGCUUAUUGAUAUAUUAUGAAUAUCAUACUAGAUAAUAAUUUCUAACAUUUGAACUGUAUUUACACAUAUUUAAUUGAAAUACCUAGAUAAAAAAUUGAAAAACAUAGAUAAAAUAUUGUGACUAAUAUAGACAAACAGUUGCUUUCUUGACGUUUUACAAACUGAUCACCGUUCCUCGUGGCACAGGUUCAUGUGAAAUGAAGUAGCUUGCUUUGUUUGGGAAAGGCAAUGAUGACUGCAAGAAUCACUUCAAAAACUCAAGUGCAAUGGAGAUUUCAAUUGUGUUCUGUUUAAUACUUGAAUAUUUAAUUGCAUUCCCUGGUUAUUUCUCAUCCUAAUAGCUCUCACCCACAUCAUGUGGGUUCCAUUAGUACAGAUAUCUCUGAAUGCUGCACUCUUCCAUUACAUUGAGUCAAUUGCUUAUUACCUUGGGCCUCCAUUUGGGGCUAUUCUCCUGCCUAUCAUCUCCCUGUCUAUAGUAAAAGAGUCAAUGAGCAGAUAAGUGAAUGCUGAAAAACACUUUUCCUGCUGGAGUGAGAAAUAAGUGGUUUCUUUCAAUAUGGUAGUAAAAUGCAACUUUCCUAGCCUAUUUAUAUGACUCAAAGCCCAGAUGUCGUUAGCCUCAAUUCCUGAUUGUCAUUAGUGUGUGUAAAUACAUAGCACAUACAUAUUCUAGUCUGUAUUUCUUUUUUUUUUUUUUUUUUUUUUUUUGAGACGGGUGUGGUGGCUCACACCUAUAAUCCCAGCACUUUGGGAGGCCAAGGCGGGUGGAUCACGAGGUCAAGAGAUCGAGACCAUUCUGGUCUGUAUUUCUUUUGAAAUGUUUUUGUCUCCCAUGGCACAGUGCAGAAGAACACAGGUGUUGGUGUCAGACUGCCAGGGUCCAAUCCUGCCUCUGCUGUAGUGCAAUGUAGGUAAUAUCUGGCCUGCAUUUGGUUACAUGUAGGAACUCUGUAUGUUUGUCUUGGUUUAAUGAUUUUUAAAUGCUACUAAAUUCAACUUCUGAGGAAGCUGUUUAGAUUGUAGAAAAUGGAAACUUUAAAAAUUUUUCUUCCCAGAAGCCAAGAACAUUAACUCAUGUCAAGUCUACCCACUUAUCCACCUGUCCAUCUGUCUGUCCAUCCACUCAUCAUCCAACCAUGGAACUCAGUGCCAACUCCUGAGGUGAUAAUGGAUUCCAGACACCCUUGUUCUUCCUAGUCACAUAUUAAAGUGUUCAUAAGUUGACCUUGAUUGACUGUGAUAAGCAUCAAGCCCACUUGCUCCAACACUGUGGACUGCUAUCCCCCAACGCCCCCUCCAGCUCAGUCAGGCAGGCAGGAUUCUGUGCUUCAUAACAAGCUUACUAGAAUAUUUCCACCACUUAACACAAGAGGUAAAAAAAAAAGUUGUCUACCCUUUAAUAUUUGGUUUUAGUAUGACAUCUCUCAUAAAUAUUUCUCUAGCAGCCAUUCCCAGAGCUUGUUUUUCCUCUAAUAUUUUAAAAACACUGAAAAGCUUUAGCAAUAUGCCAUGUCAUCUUGCACAAUACACUGAUUGCCUGGUUUUCUUUGGUUUGGUUUUGGUUCUUGAAAUUGACUUAAAGAUCAGUGCUUUCUACUUCUACUCUGUUUAUUGCAUCUGUGCUCCUGAGGAAGAUUAGCCUGUGGUUUUCUUCUAGGACUUGCAAGAGGCAACCUUGCUUUGGAGAUGAGAAAUCUGACAUUCUAGAGGUGAAACACUCACCUAAGAGGACCAGGGAGUCAAGUCCAUGUUUAAUGUCAAAGCCCAUUGUUUUCCAGCAGCCAUGACACCAUUUCUUACUGUAUUAGUAAACACUUGGUAGGGACACUCACCUUUAAAAUCCCCUAUGGUUGGUCAUUUCAUGACUGUGUUGUGUGUUCCUGGCAGUGUAUUGUACAGCACUGCCUAUGAGGCAUGGAGGAGUCUCACAUGAAGGUUGCCUGCAUUAGGGGGGAGUUCCUGAAGCUGCUGCUCAUGUUCCUCACAGGGAAGCCAGGGAUGAGCAACCCCAUUCUGUACAUAGGCAAGCCAUGAACCAAGGGCCUCUCUUUCAAGGUAUGAAUUCUGAGGAAUGUUUCUAAGGUGUGAGGAAACAUGAAAAACUAGAAAAGACCAGAGGGACAGAAGAGUUUGUGCAGCAGUCAAAGGAAGGGAUAUUUGGUGUGUUUGCUGCUCUGCUCACCUCACUCUUCAACCUCCCUGCUGGAUUUUUAGAGUCAUUUGGGUAUGGGUGUCCCGUUUUGGUGAGUGGCUUGGACUGGAGGAAGUCCAUAGAGUAUGGCAGAGGGUACUGGAGGUUGAGGUAUAAUGAGGUAAAUGUGAAUUGGAUAAGAUGGACUAGCUGCAUCUGGUGACAUUUCUGUCUGUGUAGGUAUUUGAAUAUGCACUGCCACUUCUUGGUCCCCAUGAGACAGCUAGAGAACUGAAUUGACUUUCACUGCUCUGGAAUCAGUUUGUUUGUAAUAGUUUAAUUUACUCAUCAGGUAACAUCAAUUAUUGAAAAUAUUCCUGGAAAUGAACUUUCUGCCAUCAUUAUGAUUAGUGAAGAAAAUAGAAGCUUUCUUGGGAAAUCAACAAAAUACUUGCUUGGUUUGUAUUUAUGCCUCAUAAGUCAUAGCAUACAGCCAUUUGCCAGUGCUUGCACCCUCUGCUGGCCUCAGGACUAGGAGGUCAGGGUGGCCUCUCUCAUGAGCCUCUGACCUAUAACCUCAGUAGCAGCAGCACCCCUUCUCCAUGGACUUCCACACCAAGGUCCAGAAACAGGUGUCAGAGAGAGCUCCUUCUCACAGGGGGUUGCCGAGGGGCCCCUGGGCUGUGCCUAGAAUUCUCCUGGGGAAGUGCCGAUGGAGAAGUGGAUUAGAGGCUUCAGUGGUUGGUUCCAGUGAAACUAACUACAGAGUGCUAGAGUAGGGUAAGAGAAAGGAGAAGAUAUUUAGGUUCUGUUUCCACAUACAAAAACUAGGGCCCUAUUUUUAAAUGAAAUAGUUUUCUUCCUUUGAAGUGUCUCUGAUUGUACCUGACUUCUGCUCACACUCCUGAUGUUCAACCACAUAUUCAAAAAACUCCAUUUGUGUUUUUCAUGAGGGAUGAAAUUAUUACCUGUUCUGACAGGCAAAUGCACUGUCCAGAUGUCCCUAUAUACAUCACAUAAAGGAGGAAACAGAUGAAUCAUCCACACGCUAACACAGAUGAGUUUAUCAAUUGCAGCUGUUAAGGAUGGGCCGAUGUUACCAAGGGACAGAGUCCGGGAAGGUACUCAUUCCAAGAGCCUGCUGCAAGAGUUCAGUCAACCCAGGACAGCUAGAGCAACCUGGGCCUAAAGCCAGGGGCUGGCAGGUGACAGAUAGAAAGAAUGGACCACAGAGUCUCCUUUUUCUCCUGCAUUUUCAAUAGACCAUAUAUUGUCAUAGUAUUUUGUGAAACAUUUAAAAAUCUGAAGUAUGACAUACAUACAGAAAACACAUGAAACCUAAAUAAUACAGCUCUGUCAUUUAUCACAAAAUGAGCACCCAUGUAACUACAAGUCAGGUCAAAAAAUAGAAGUUACCUGUACUCGAAAACUGUCCUUGGAUCUCCUCCUUUCCAAAGAUAACCAUUACAACUUCGUGUGCUAAAGUUUGCUCCUUUUUAGUUUGCACUUAUUUUAAAUAGAAUAACUCAGGAUGUAUUCCUUGAUUUCCGGAGGCUUUUGCUCAUAAUAAGUUUGGAACAGUCAGCCAUGUGGCUGCGCAUAGCUGCAGUUCAUUCAUUGUCUUGCUACACUUGCUAUUCAAUUUUGAGUUCUUUAAAAAUUGAAUGAAUCAGGUGAAAAGGAAUGUUGGUGAAUAUUCUAACAGAAAAACAAUUGGAUCUUGACUCUUUUAAAAAAUGGUCCUAUUGAUAAAGUGAUAUUUUAGCUAAGUGUGAUAAAAAUAAUAUGGCUUGGAUGUACCAUUUUUCUUUUUGUUGUUCCAAACUGUGGAGUUUAUUGGUUUAAAUAAUGAAAACACGUUCUAUCAUCCCAGCUUUACACUUGCUGUUUCUUUAACAGCCUUCCCAUUGGGGCAGGAUGGAAGUAGGAACCCCAGUAAUCUCCCCUUAAACUGGAGUCUUUCCUUCUCCACAGCUCUCUUAUUGGAUGGGAUAGACUGGGCACCCAGGCCUGAGGUAAGGACAUGCCCUAUCACCUAGAGGUGCAAUGCCUGGGAAGACCAAUCUUGAAGGGGUUCUGCCACCUUUGCAGGGACAUAGGUGUUGGGAGGAACUGACUACCAAUUGGUAAGGCUGUGCUUUGUUGGUGACAUGAUUGUUUCACAGGUAACUGGGGAGGGACAGUCCCAAGGCCUUACCUGGCCGUGGUCCUGGCUCUGCACCAAGGCAAUAAGAGAGGAAUGGUGCUAAGGGAUGACAUGUUGCUGUGGAAGGUGCCGGACUGAAAUUCAGGAGGCAGAAGAUACAGUGGUCUCAUAGGAGAUGGAGGAUUCAUCAGCGUGCGCUGCACUGAGCAGAAGGAAGGAAAGCUGCUACAAAAAUUAGAAGAGAGUGAGCGAAGGGAGGGUCCUUCCUCCAGCCACCACCUAUUUCAGGAGAACACACAGAAGUGAUGAUCUUUUAUGAACAGGUAAGUAAAUUCUGCUGUUUUGGUUACUCAUGGAAAAAACAUUGGCUAGUGUGAGGUGGGAAGGUGGUGAACUCAUUCUCCCUGGACCUCAGGAACCACAGAUAGGACUAUACUGCCUACCAGUAUUUUAUUCCGUUAUUUCUACCUGUAUGAAUCCUGUAAUAUUGAAAUGGGUAGGUUAGCAUUUUUGGCCAAUUUACUCAGCAUUCUGAAUUAGAAGUUUUUAGAAUUCACCUAUGUAAGCUUAGUUUUCUGUUAGUGAAAAAGUACAAAAAUGGUAAUCUCUUUUAUCAUAAAAAUAAUGUCUUUUUAAUAGAGUGUUUUUUCUAAUCAAUGUAUUAUGUACUUUUCAAUACAUUCAUUGCUUACAUUUGAACUAUUUUAUGAAUGAAUAAUUGUAUAGGUGAAGAUUACUAGUCAUGGGCAUUUUACUAACUGAUGCUCAUUAGGCAUAGCAUGGGUUCAUGGGAUGUCAAGGAGCUAUGUUUUGUUUGGUAAAAGUAAGAAAAUAGCACAAGAGUGAAUGCAAGCACUGAAGCACAAUGGAGGCGCCUAUGAUGACUUGUCUAAGAUUUACAUCACUUUGUUGUCUUCCCAGAUUACUUAUCAUCCUGAUAAUUAUCAUCAGCAUUGUUUGGGUCCUUCUAGCACAGUUUCCCAAAAUGGGCAACUCUUCCAUUAGGUAAAAAUACUUCCAUUUGAGCCUUUAAUUGCAGCUGUCUUCCUGCUUCUUCUUUUGGAAGAGUUAAUUAAAGGAUAAAUACAUUAGAAUUUUUUUUCCAUGUUAGAAUGAGCAAACCGCAAUGUUUAUUUCACUGGGGUAACAGAAUGCUUCCUUUUGACCUUCCAAGCUCAUCUCAAUUUCAGCAGCCCCAUUUCCUAAUGCUCACCAAAGUGUGUAAAUACAGAGGACAUUUCUGCACUCAGGUAUUUCUAUUUCUUAUGAUCUAUGACAUUUAUACAUAGCACAGUGCUCAGCAGCACAGAUUUGAGAGUCAGAAUGCUUGGAUACUGAAUUGAAUUGUGAUCUUAGACAAAUCCCUUGAAUCAAUAUAAAAAUAUUAUGAUUGUACCUUAUUUUUGAGGUUCCUGGGAGGAUUAAGGUUUUCUUGAUGGUAUCAUUCAGUCAUCGAACCAAAUAAUAUUUGCACCUAAUCUGUACAGUGAAAUAAGGAAUAAAGGAUUAGAGAAUGAGCUCCACAUAAAAACAUUUUUUAAAAAGUCACAAUGCAAGUGAGAGGAAUAUUUGCACUGUUCUUUUUGGGUAUCAGGAAGUAAAUAAAUAGUGUUCCCCAUGAGAAUGGGAAAGACUUCACAGCAGAGUUAUCACCUGGGCUGGACCUGUUUGGGGGUGAGCAGGAUUUCACACACAGCAUGAACUUUGGCACAGAAAUUUUUAAAGCCCAGAAUGAAGCAAAAUAAAAAACUGAGGUGUGUUUUGUGUCUUUCAGGUUGUCAGAUGUUUAAUACAGGUUAGCAUUCCAAAUCCAAAAAUCUGAAAUCCAAAAAUCUGAAAUCCAAAAUGCUCUAAAACCCGAAACAUUUUCAGCUUCUAAAUGGAAAUGCUCACUGGAGGAUUUCAGAUUUCAAAUUUUUGGAUUUGGAAUUCUCAAUCACUAAGUAUAUAUAAUGCAAAUAUUCUGAAAUCUGCAAAAACCCAAAUCUGAAUCACUUCUGGUACCAAUCAUUUCAGUUAAGGGACACACAGUUAAGGGACAUUUCAGUUAAGGACACACAUUUUCGUGCUUAACAUUCAGUGCUGAUGAGGAUGGGGGUGGUAACACCCAUUGCUGUAACUGCUGGAAGCAUGUGAAUUUCUAUGAUUUGUAAGAGGGCAAUUUGGAGGACCUAUCUUUUUUUUUGUUUGUUUGUUUUUGUUUUAAAAGUUGUUUUUAUUAAACACACCAUAUAGAUGGGUUAAUGAUCUAUUUCUCAGUUUUUACCAAAACCAUGUGUGUCUCACUUUCUGUCUGCUUUUUUUUUAAUUGUACUUUAAGUUCUGGGGUACAUGUACAGAUCUUACAGGAUUGUUGCUUAGGUUACCACAUGCCAUGGUGGUUUGCUGUCUCCAUCCCACCAUCACCUACAUCAGGCAUUUCUCCCAGUGUUAUCCCACCCCAUCCUCCCAACAUCCACUGUCCGUCCC